AACGCGAAGAACCUUACCAGCCCUUGACAUGUCCAGGACCGUCGCAGAGAUGUGACCUUCUCUUCGGAGCCUGGAGCACAGGUGCUGCAUGGCUGUCGUCAGCUCGUGUCGUGAGAUGUUGGGUUAAGUCCCGCAACGAGCGCAACCCCCGUCCUUAGUUGCUACCAUUUAGUUGAGCACUCUAAGGAGACUGCCGGUGAUAAGCCGCGAGGAAGGUGGGGAUGACGUCAAGUCCUCAUGGCCCUUACGGGCUGGGCUACACACGUGCUACAAUGGCGGUGACAAUGGGACGCUAAGGGGCAACCCUUCGCAAAUCUCAAAAAGCCGUCUCAGUUCGGAUUGGGCUCUGCAACUCGAGCCCAUGAAGUUGGAAUCGCUAGUAAUCGUGGAUCAGCACGCCACGGUGAAUACGUUCCCGGGCCUUGUACACACCG
rnacentral:rRNA from 1 species